rnacentral:rRNA from 1 species
AGAUUGGCCCGCGACCCAUUAGCUAAGUUGGUAGGGUAAAGGCUUACCAAGGAGAAGAUGGUAUCCGGCUUGAGAGGGUGAUCGGACACAUUGGGACUGAGAUACGGCCCAGACUCCUACGGGAGGCAGCAGCUAGGAAUAUUCCACAAUGGACGAAAGUCUGAUGGAGCGACGCCGCGUGGAUGAUGAAGGCCGAAAGGUUGUAAAAUCUUUUUACACUGGAGGAAUAAGCAGAGUAGGGAAUGACUCUGUGAUAACUGUACAGUUUGAAUAAGCAACGGCUAAUUACGUGCCAGCAGCCGCGGUAACACGUAAGUUGCGAGCGUUGUUCGGAAUUAUUGGGCGUAAAGGGCAUGUAGGCGGAUUUGCAAGCUUGAUGUGAAAUCCCGCAGAUUAACUGCGGAACUGCAUUGGGAACUGCAAGACUAGAGUUACUGAGGGGAAACUAGAAUUCCAAGUGUAGGGGUGAAAUCUGUAGAUAUUUGGAAGAAUACCAAUGGCGAAGGCAAGUUUCUGGCAGAUAACUGACGCUGAGGUGCGAAGGUGCGGGGAGCAAACGGGAUUAGAUACCCUGGUAGUCCGCACAGUAAACGAUGUACACUAGGUGUUUGACCAUGAGGUUGAGUGCCAUAGCUAACGCAAUAAGUGUACCGCCUGGGAAGUAUGCCCGCAAGGGUGAAACUCAAAGGAAUUGACGGGGGCCCGCACAAGCGGUGGAGCAUGUGGUUUAAUUCGAUGGUACGCGAGGAACCUUACCUGGGUUUGACAUAUACUGGAAUGUUAUAGAGAUAUAGCAGCGUAGCAAUACGCCGGUAUACAGGUGCUGCAUGGCUGUCGUCAGCUCGUGCCGUGAGGUGUUGGGUUAAGUCCCGCAACGAGCGCAACCCCUACUCUCAGUUGGUAACAGAUAAUGAUGAGGAUUCUGGCGGAACUGCCGGUGACAAACCGGAGGAAGGUGGGGAGGACGUCAAGUCAUCAUGGCCCUUAUGUCCAGGGCUACACACGUCCUACAAUGGUAGAAACAAAGCGAUGCUACAAUGCAAAGUCACGCAAAACGCAAAAAAGCUAUGGUAGUUUGGAUUCGAGUUUGAAACUCGACCCCAUGAAGUUGGAUUUGCUAAUAUUCGCGCAUCAGCACGGCGCGGUGAAGACGGUGCCGGGCCGUGCCCAAAGCGCCCCUCAA